rnacentral:rRNA from 1 species
GACGAACGCUGGCGGCGUGCCUAAUACAUGCAAGUAGGACGCAGUUGCGAACGGGUGAGUAAAGCGUAGGUAACUACCUAUUAGAGGGGGAUAACUAUUGGAAACGAUAGCUAAUACCGCAUACUAGUAGAUGGACCUUCGUUGUAUUAGCUAGUAGGUAGGGUAAAGGCCUACCUAGGCAACGAUACAUAGCCGACCUGAGAAGGUGAUCGGGCACACUGGGACCGGGGCACGGCCCAGACCUCUACGGGAGGCAGCAGUAGGGAAUCUUCGGAAAUGGGGGGCACGCUGACCGAGCAACGCCGCGUGAGGUAAGAAGGUUUUCGGAUCGGAAAGCUCUGUUGUUAAGGAAGCGGUACUUAACCAGAAAGGGACGGCUAACUACGUGCCAGCAGCCGCGGUAAUAC